CCGGGCGAGGCGCGUCGCGGCGGCAGCAUGUUUCUGAGACAUGGAUGAUGCAGUAGUCCCCUCCCAAACUUCUCCAGAGCCUCUCGGUGCCUGGUGGAUAUUCUGGACAGACUCAGGGUGGUCAGGGCUUCUUCAUAGGUGGUGUAUGCAGGGCCAAGGAUGACCCUGCACGCCCUUUUCUGCACACUCUCUAGCUGUAGCUGUUGAGUGUGUGUGAGGGAGGAGGACCACUCUGGGGAGGCGUACAUGAGUUUGGGGAGGAUGAAGGUAAGGUACACCCCCCUUAACUCAUCUGUCGGCGUCCCCAGCGACCUGAGUCUGCGCAGCAUGUACAGCCUGUAGGUAGCUGAUCUCACGGUGCUGGCGACAUGCUGCUUCCAGGUCAGCUGGUCGUCCACCGUGACUCCGAGAAGCUUGGCACAUUGGACCACCUGGAGGGGGUGAGGGCCCACUGUGAGCCGGGGAGGGGGGCACUGGUACAGAAGAGGUACAGAAAUGCAUCACCACAGUUUUGCUGUGGUGAUGUGUAGCCGGGUUCAGUGGUAACAAUUACAAGUGGAAGCUAUGCAAGGAGCAAUCCAGGAGGCCGUUUUAAACAGUAACCCCAUGCUGUGGCUCUUUGACCCUGCCCAAGUACAGUUUCUAAAUGUACACAUUCGACGCACACGCAUCGUAGAGGACCCCAUCAGCCAACUGCUGCACCACAAGGUCACCGAUUACAAACGGCCAUUGAAGGUCCACUUCAUCAGGGAGGAGGUAGAGGAUGCAGGUGGGGUACGGAAGGAAUUUUUCUUGCUCCUCCUAAGAGAUAUUUUGAAUCCAGACUAUGGUAUGUUUACUGAGUUCCCCGACACAAGAAGGAUUUGGUUCAAGGAGGGAGCUCUGGAGGCGGCUGCUACCUAUAUGUUGAUUGGCAUUGUGUGUGGACUGGCAAUCUACAACUUCACCAUCAUCAACCUGCCCUUCCCAAUUGCACUGUACAAGAAGUUACAGUGAGAGACUGUAGGCUUGGAUGACCUCGCCGACCUUGACCCGCAGCUGACCAGGUCACUGCGAGAUCUGCUGGAGUACGAGGGAGGUGAUGAGGAGGAAGUUUAUGGCCUCAACUUCACUUUGACCCAGGAUUACUUUGGGGAGUGCAAGAGUGUCCCCCUGAAGGCUGGAGGGGAGGAGAUGUCAGUCACACAGCAGAACAAGGCAAAUAUUUCCCAGACCACCCAGUCAUACGCAUGUUCUGGGAAGUAUUUCACAAACUCUCCCUGGAGCAGAAGAAGUUGUUUUUGAAGUUCCUGACGGGCACUGACAGGGUUCCUAUUCUGGGCAUGAAGGUAGGUGAGAGAGAGAGAGAGAGAGAGAGAGA